AAGGGCCUGAAUACUAUAUUCGGUUACAUUGGCUACAACGAAGCACCUCGGGGUAACAACAGCACGAUGCGAGCACCAUUGGCAUUGCCGAACUAGGGCACUUUUAGUGUCCGGCAAAUAAACGACUAGCCAACCGAGAGAAUAUAUUGUACGCACAUACGAACCCCGCCUUCCGUUCCGUACAGAAGAUCUUACUCACGAUACAACCACAGAGUUCUGAUCCGCUUAGACUCAGCGGAACGCUUUACAUUCGAAGGGACGUCUCGCAGGAACUUCAAACUUGCAUAGAUUAUGUAAGCGGCACACCCAGGAUAUUAUCGUUGUCGCAAAUCGCUAUGACUGCAUGUGAGCACUUAAAGGCGGAUGUCAGCAAGAGAAAUAAGGAGAAACAUUGAGCUGAAAAGGUCUGUUUGCAUGAUGACUCGUUGGAACAGGAGUCUAGAACACAAAGUACGGGCCAUGCCAGCCAGUAACGGAAACAUCUCACCAACGGGGAAACCGACCCCCGGCGGUGACGCCCCAGCAUCAGGACGUCCUUCCGUUCUACUCAGUUAAUGGAGGUAUUCGCUUUUCAGCGGCGAAAGCAGACACAAUGCAUAUUACGAUCGUGCCUUCAUUGCUACUAUAGGGAACCCUCGACGACCAGCUUUCGGACCGAUGUCUUCUCAGAUCUCCUUACAGUGAUGCGUAUUUUCUCCAUUACAAGACGUGUCUUCUUCGCUGUUCAAUUCUGACUUGCAUUACCUCCCUCCCCCAUAGCUUGAGAAAAAAAAGUCACUACUAUAGCUCGUGGCUCUGUUCUGGAGAUGUUGUUUAAUCGCCACCAAGUACUUGUCGAAUCAUUGUACUAACUCAGUAGGGAAUUAUGUCAAAAAACCACUGGUGUCAAAGACACGAAUUUUUCGACUAUCUUUAAUCAUCUGCCGUUUAUUUGAGUCUGCUUUAUUGUUUUUCUCGGUCAAUUACAAGACAAAAUGGCUUUCUUCCAGAGGAAAAAUAAUGAACAAUAGACGCCAUUAGUUUUUUCUUAAAAAUGCAUACACCUAUUUUCUCGAAUCAUACACACUACUUUGUAUCAUGCCUUAUAUACUCUGUAGACGGUUUUGGGCUCGUGACGAAUAUUCUGGUGCACGGCGGUUGAAAGGGGGUCUUUUGGAACCAUGUGCUGGUCGUGUCCAGAAGAGAAACAUAGAAAUAUUGUUAUGACGUUAUAACGAAUCCUUUGGAAGACAGAUACGCCAAUCUUUCAAUCAUUACCUGACGUCGCAGCCUAUAACGAAAAGGUUGCGAUUUUCUAGAGCUGUCGUUGAAAAGGUCGCCAUAAUGGAGAUCUAUACUAAUUCACUGUUUCACUAACACUUUGUGGCUCUUCGACGUGAAAUCUGCAAUACACCAUGUGCAUAAAAUCCUAUGAAUCGGGCAAGAAGCAGGAGAGAAUACUUGUAUUACUAUUGAUAAAUGAAGUUUAUACCUGGUAAUUAUUCCUAGAGUGCAACUAACGGCAUGAAAGGAUUGCGUCUUUCUUAGUUGUUCGAAAGCUGUUGAAGAAGCUCAUAGAGCUGUAUACUUAGUAACUUCGUAAACAUACCGGUUCCUAAUCAUUCAGUUGGAGCCGAGAACUUCAACGAUUGUUGUCAUUAAUAAAAAUGGGAAAAUUAGCAAAUGACAGGUAAUGCGUAUGCCAGAUAGAUGAUACAUUAUAUGAGUCUUAAUUCACACCAGGGCUCAAAUAAACUAAACCUUAGCUUUUGGUUUCGCGGUCAGUUCUAUAAGCGGGAGAUCUCGCCGCUUGAAUCACCUACGAUUCAGUACAUAGGUUUUACAUCAUGGAAAAAUAGCGGCCAUUUUUUGUUAAGACCCAAAUGGGGUGAAAUAGCCCAAAUAUAGUUUUAAACUUACAAGCAUAUUAUCAAAUUUCUUUGAAUGGUCUAAGAAUUAUAGUGGCUUUGAUUUAUCCUCAAUGCGAUAUCCAUGAGGCUAUGCCAUUAAAUAAUCAUAAAGCGCAUCUGAACGGAUUGCAAUUCCUAAGAAGAUUAUACUUACAAAUCCUUAACAUUUUGCCCGUGUGAUAGCCAUUGUUUUGUGGGAGAUGUGGUAGGAGAUAUGAAUGAAAGAAAAAGCAAGUAGUUUAACUGGACGGCAUCGGUCGUUAAGUGAUUGUUUCCCCUCAAGAUUGUCCUGGCAUAAUUUAGAAAAUAUAAUUUUGCCGCGAAUAUUAUUUAAUUAUUGAUUGGUCUAGAUUGUUGCACAUGGUUCACAGCAGCCAAUAAAGACGGUAGACCUACUCGAAAACUGAAAAGUCAAUGUUCGAAGUCAGACUCGUUUGCAUAUCCUCUCAUACCUCACAAGGUUCGGUCACGCCAACCUGUGUCACCGCGGUGACUUUGACCGCUUCAUCUCCAAAUGCCCAUCAAAGACACCAACCAUUCUUUUUCACCUGUAAUUAGGAUUCACUUCAGAAACUUGGAAAGGCUAUGUAUGUUAAUCGACGAAUUAUCUAAUAUAAUAUACUAUACAGUUCUCCACUAGAUCUCCGAAGGCUGAAAGCAUAUUUAAGUUUCAUAAGAGCAAACUAGCUAUAGCAACCAAUACAUCCUCUGCCUGUCUAGGGCUUCCUAGGCUGCGACCAUUCAUGCAGCCUUGAUAGGCACGUACUAUAGGAGACCCACAUAAAUUAGCUUAUUAUUUGUGAAAUGUCAUCAUAUCCCGCGGCUGUCUUUAGACUCGCUGUGCUCAGCUUCGAUCCGUAACUGACAAGUGUGCGUUUACUUCAUGAUGUUAUUAAAUAAUGUAUAUUACAAACAUUGCCUCGGCACCCUUCCGCGAGUUCCCAGCUUUACGUUCUACCUUAUACGUGGCAAAGUCAACUGCGGUAACUCCGCCCUAAAGUAAACUUGGUGCACUUCUUUACUCACAAGAAGAUAAGCGACCAUUAUUCAACUGGCAUAAAAAUGGCCGCCGUUCAUAUACUUACGAAAGAAAAUUGAUUUUGCUGCACAAGCCUUAUACUGUUAUUUUGGCCCACACGUUUGAUUAUAGUUGGUCGAAAUGGGAAGUAAAAACAGGUGGACAUUCCUUGGGCGA
rnacentral:lncRNA from 1 species